AAGUCGUAACAAGGUCUCCGUUGGUGAACCAGCGGAGGGAUCAUUACCGAAUGUUACCAAACAAACCACUGUGAACCGUCCCUUUAGCUGCUUCGGCGAGCGAUCCCAGGGCGGGAUCCCGGGCUCCUUACAGGGUGCUCGCCGGCGGCCACUUUCUAGCUCUGUUUCUAGCGGGCUUCUGAGUGUAAACAAAAAAUAAAUCAAAACUUUCAACAACGGAUCUCUUGGCUCUG
rnacentral:misc_RNA from 1 species